AUUGAACGCUGGCGGCAUGCCUUACACAUGCAAGUCGAACGGCAGCACGGGUGCUUGCACCUGGUGGCGAGUGGCGAACGGGUGAGUAAUACAUCGGAACAUGUCCUGUAGGGGGGGAUAGCCCGGCGAAAGCCGGAUUAAUACCGCAUACGAUCUACGGAUGACAGCGGGGGACCUUCGGGCCUCGCGCUAUAGGGUUGGCCGAUGGCUGAUUAGCUAGUUGGUGGGGUAAAGGCCUACCAAGGCGACGAUCAGUAGCUGGUCUGAGAGGACGACCAGCCACCCUGGGACUGAGGCCCGGCCCAGACUCCUACGGGAGGCAGCAGUGGGGAAUUUUGGACAAUGGGCGAAAGCCUGAUCCAGCAAUGCCCCGUGUGUGAAGAAGGCCUUCGGGUUGUAAAGCACUUUUGUCCGGAAAGAAAUCCUUGGCCCUAAUACGGUCGGGGGAUGACGGUACCGGAAGAAUAGGCACCGGCUAACUACGUG
rnacentral:rRNA from 1 species